rnacentral:rRNA from 1 species
CUAACUAGGAUUCCCUUAGUAACGGCGAGUGAAAGGGGAAGAGCCCGAUGCCGAAUCUGCUCCCUUGAGGAGUGGAAAUGUGGGUAUCACGUCCAGAAGUGUGCCGGUGAAAAUCUUCCUGGAAAGGUUUGCCUAAGAGGGUGAAAGUCCCGUUAGCACCGUGCCCAUUUCGUAUGGACUUGAUAGAGAGAGUCGCGUUCUUUGGAAGUAGAGCGCAAACACAGGUGAUACACUUCAUCUGCGGCUAAAUACCAUUUCGAGACCGAUAGCGAACAAGUACCGUGAGGGAAAGCUGAAAAGAACUUUGAAAAGAGAGUUAAACAGUGCCUGAAACCGGUGAGAAGGAAGUGUAUAUGUCUGCAUGGCGCCUCCGGUUCGCUGGAGUUGGCAGCCGCUGGGCCUUUGUGGAUGAAUAAUUAGCCAAGAGCCCACCUGCAUUCCUCGGUUUGCGGAGAUACUCUUGGUGAAAUUCAUUCUGCAGAGGUUUACGCCUCUGUGAUGUGUUGCUCUCGUUCACUUCACUCUCCUCUAUUACUUACGUGGUAAUUUUGGCGAAGGAAGUGCGCUUGGGUACCCUUCACGUGCACAGCG